GGUUGUGGCUCAGCGGUGGAGUGCUCGCCUAGCACGUGCGAGGCCCUGGGUUCGAUCCUCAGCACCA
rnacentral:tRNA from 1 species